rnacentral:tRNA from 1 species
UUUUCAGUAGUGUAGUGGUCAUCACGUUUGCCUAACACACAAAAGAUCUUCAGUCCGAAACUGGGCGGAAACA